AUACGUAGGUUGCAAGCGUUGUCCGGGAUUUACUGGGUGUAAAGGGCGUGUAGGCGGAGAUGCAAGUUGGGAGUGAAAUGCAGGGGCUCAACCCCUGAACUGCUUUCAAAACUGCAUCCCUUGAGUAUCGGAGAGGCAAGCGGAAUUCCUAGUGUAGCGGUGAAAUGCGUAGAUAUUAGGAGGAACACCAGUGGCGAAGGCGGCUUGCUGGACGACAACUGACGCUGAGGCGCGAAAGCGUGGGGAGC
rnacentral:rRNA from 1 species